rnacentral:rRNA from 1 species
UUUCCGGUUGAUCCUGCCGGACCUGACUGCUAUCGGAUUGAUACUAAGCCAUGCAAGUCUUUGUAGUAAUACAAGGCAUACGGCUCAGUAACGCGUAGUCAACCUACCCUAUGGAUGAGGAUAAUCUCGGGAAACUGAGCAUAAUACUCAACAGAUCAUCAAUUCUGGAAUGGUUGAUGAUUCAAAUGAUUUUUCGCCAUAGGAUGGGACUGCGACCUAUCAGCUUGUUGGUGAGGUAAUGGCCCACCAAGGCAAUUACAGGUACGGGCUCUGAGAGGAGAAGCCCGGAGAUGGGUACUGAGACAAGGACCCAGGCCCUAUGGGGCGCAGCAGGCGAGAAAACUUUGCAAUGUGCGAAAGCACGACAAGGUUAAUCCGAGUGAUUUCUGCUAAAGGAAUCUUUUACCAGUUCUAAAAAUACUGGCGAAUAAGGGGUGGGCAAGUUCUGGUGUCAGCCGCCGCGGUAAAACCAGCACCUCAAGUGGUCAGGAGGAUUAUUGGGCCUAAAGCAUCCGUAGCCGGCUCUGUAAGUUUUCGGUUAAAUCUAUAUGCUCAACAUAUAGGCUGCCGAAAAUACUGCACAGCUAGGGAAUGGGAGAGGUAGACGGUACUCGGUAGGAAGGGGUAAAAUCCUUUGAUCUAUCGAUGACCACCUGUGGCGAAGGCGGUCUACCAGAACAUGUUCGACGGUGAGGGAUGAAAGCUGGGGGAGCAAACCGGAUUAGAUACCCGGGUAGUCCCAGCUGUAAACGAUGCAGACUCGAUAAUGCACUGGCACAUAGCCAGUGCAGUGUCGCAGGGAAGCCGUUAAGUCUGCCGCCUGGGAAGUACGUACGCAAGUAUGAAACUUAAAGGAAUUGGCGGGGGAGCACCACAAGGGGUGAAGCCUGCGGUUCAAUUGGAGUCAACGCCGGG